rnacentral:tRNA from 1 species
GAAGCGUGCCCGAAUAACAAGGACUAUUUUGAUAAAAUAGACAUAGAGGCUGGAAUCUCUCACUUCUUA